rnacentral:rRNA from 1 species
AACGAACGCUGGCGGCAUGCCUAACACAUGCAAGUCGAACGAGACCUUCGGGUCUAGUGGCGCACGGGUGCGUAACGCGUGGGAACCUGCCCUUAGGUUCGGAAUAACUCCCCGAAAGGGGUGCUAAUACCGGAUAAUGUCUUCGGACCAAAGAUUUAUCGCCUUUGGAUGGGCCCGCGUUGGAUUAGCUAGUUGGUAGGGUAAAAGCCUACCAAGGCGACGAUCCAUAGCUGGUCUGAGAGGAUGAUCAGCCACACUGGGACUGAGACACGGCCCAGAAUCCUACGGGAGGCAGCAGUGGGGAAUAUUGGACAAUGGGCGAAAGCCUGAACCAGCAAUGCCGCGUGAGUGAUGAAGGCCUUAGGGAUGUAAAGCUCUAUUACCCGGGAUGAUAAUGACAGUACCGGGAGAAUAAGCACCGGCUAACUCCGUG